UAUCAAAUAGUGUACUCUAUCAGGAU
rnacentral:piRNA from 1 species